rnacentral:rRNA from 1 species
AACUUUCAACAACGGAUCUCUUGGUUCUGGCAUCGAUGAAGAACGCAGCGAAAUGCGAUAAGUAAUGUGAAUUUGCAGAAUUCAGUGAAUCAUCCAAUCCUUUGAACGCACAUUGCGCCCCCCGGGAUUCCCGGGGGGAUGGCCGGUCCAACCGCCUUU